rnacentral:rRNA from 1 species
CCUACGGGUGGCAGCAGUGGGGAAUAUUGGACAAUGGGGGGAACCCUGAUCCAGCCAUGCCGCGUGUGUGAAGAAGGCCCUCGGGUUGUAAAGCACUUUCAGUGAGGAAGAACGCCUGGUGGUUAAUACCCAUCAGGAAAGACAUCACUCACAGAAGAAGCACCGGCUAACUCCGUGCCAGCAGCCGCGGUAAUACGGAGGGUGCGAGCGUUAACGGAAUUACUGGGCGUAAAGCGCGCGUAGGUGGCUUGAUAAGCCGGUUGUGAAAGCCCCGGGCUCAACCUGGGAACGGCAUCCGGAACUGGCAAGCUAGGGUGCAGGAGAGGAAGGUAGAAUUCCCGGGGGAGCGGUGAAAUGCGUAGAGAUCGGGAGGAAUACCAGUGGCGAAGGCCGCCUUUUGGACUGACACUGACAAUGAGGUGCGAAAGCGUGGGUAGCAAACAGGAUUAGGUACCCCAGUAGUC